rnacentral:rRNA from 1 species
GACGAACGCUGGCGGCGUGCUUAACACAUGCAAGUCGAACGGAAAGGCCCUGCUUUUGUGGGGUGCUCGAGUGGCGAACGGGUGAGUAACACGUGAGUAACCUGCCCUUGACUUUGGGAUAACUUCAGGAAACUGGGGCUAAUACCGGAUAGGAGCUCCUGCUGCAUGGUGGGGGUUGGAAAGUUUCGGCGGUUGGGGAUGGACUCGCGGCUUAUCAGCUUGUUGGUGGGGUAGUGGCUUACCAAGGCUUUGACGGGUAGCCGGCCUGAGAGGGUGACCGGCCACAUUGGGCCUGAGAUACGGCCCAGACUCCUACGUGAGGCAGCAGUGGGGAAUAUUGCACAAUGGGCGGAAGCCUGAUGCAGCAACGCCGCGUGCGGGAUGACGGCCUUCGGGUUGUAAGCCGCUUUCGCCUGUGACGAAGCGUGAGUGACGGUAAUGGGUAAAGAAGCACCGGCUAACUACGUG